UGAGGAAUAUUGGACAAUGGGCGCAAGCCUGAUCCAGCCAUGCCGCGUGCAGGAUGACGGUCCUAUGGAUUGUAAACUGCUUUUGUACAGGAAGAAACAGUUCUACGUGUAGAACCUUGACGGUACUGUAAGAAUAAGGAUCGGCUAACUCCGUGCCAGCAGCCGCGGUAAUACGGAGGAUCCAAGCGUUAUCCGGAAUCAUUGGGUUUAAAGGGUCCGUAGGCGGUUAGAUAAGUCAGUGGUGAAAGCCCAUCGCUCAACGGUGGAACGGCCAUUGAUACUGUCUGACUUGAAUUAUUAGGAAGUAACUAGAAUAUGUAGUGUAGCGGUGAAAUGCUUAGAGAUUACAUGGAAUACCAAUUGCGAAGGCAGGUUACUACUAAUGGAUUGACGCUGAUGGACGAAAGCGUGGGUAGCGAACAGGAUUAGAUACCCCUGUAGUCCCUGAGCGGGCUGGCAAGGCGCAU
rnacentral:rRNA from 1 species